UACGGAGGGUGCGAGCGUUAUCCGGAAUUACUGGGUUUAAAGGGUGCGUAGGCGGCGCUGUAAGUCAGGAGUGAAAGUUUGCGGCUCAACCGUAAAAUUGCUUUUGAUACUGCGGUGCUGGAAUUAGGAUGAGGUCAGCGGAAUGUGGCAUGUAGCGGUGAAAUGCAUAGAUAUGCCAUAGAACACCAAUUGCGAAGGCAGCUGGCUAGACCUGGAUUGACGCUGAGGCACGAAAGCGUGGGGAGCGAACAGG
rnacentral:rRNA from 1 species